CAGAUCUUAAUCUUAAUUAUUUUUUCUUUAAUUAUUUAAAAAUAAUAAAAUAUAUUGUCUAUAAUAUAAUUAAAUGAUAAAAAUUAUAUAAUCAAAAUAAAUAACGAUUCGAUUUAAAAUCAGCAUAAUAAGUAAAAAGAUCUUUGAUAGAUCAGUUUUUUAAACCUGGCAACACUGUAAUACGCAUUGGACUUCUCUAGACCGCGUGACGCCAAGAUCGAAAUUAAAGACGCAGCUUUCAAAGGUAGGGGCCCUCCGACGACGAAGUCGUGAAAAACAAAAAGGGCGAAGAGAGAGGGAUCGGGAUCGCUCGAUAAAACAGGGCGAUGUUGGAAGCACCGAUAGGUCCCAAACGAUUCUCCAUUGGGAGAAACAUCGUGACGCGAAGAGAAGGGAGGAGACUACGUACACACAAUGGGAUCCAAGAAGAGGAGCUGAGAGCAAAAGCGGUGAAUUAAUUGUCGCUCGCGCCGCCGACGAAGCCGCUACGAUCCGCAAGCCUGAUUUGUGAGCUGCACGCGUGUAUAUCAAGCCAGGAGGUGCUCGUUAAUUGAUGGCACCGGCUAUGCUCGAGCACAGAGAAUGGUAGA